UGGAACAACAUGGGGUACAAAGAAAAUGAAAACGCAUUUAUUGGCAUAAAAGUUACAAAAAAACAAAUUUGAAGAUUAAAAUUUCAACUCAAAAUAAUUUAAAAAAUGUUCCCAGAAAAUUGAAAUGCUUAAAGGUUAUCAGUAAAAUGAUUUAUCGAGUAAAGCAACAUUUUAAUUUUGGAGAUUGUAUUUUUAUAAAAAAAUUAUGUUAGUAAAUGAUUCAAUGGAUGUACCAUCCAAAGCAUCUAUUGUAAUUUACAUCAAAAGUUUUUACGAUUAUCUUAGUGUAAUUUAUUACUUGUUGCAUUACAAUAGAUCAAAAAAUGAAAUGGACAACAUUUACAUAAUUUCUGGGAUUUAUAUUUCUUCAGUUAAUAUGGAAAACCUCUAUAUUAAACCUUUGUACAGAAUUAUGGAUCCCAAUAUUGCGUCUGCUAUUAAAACAGGAAGUCUAAAAGUGUCUUUUUGCAAGAAUAAAAUGGGCAAGACAGAAUUUCUCUCAUAUGCUCAAUUAGAUAAUCUGGUAUCAAAGUCACUAGACUUCCGUCAGGCUCUUAUAUACUUAAUCACUGGAAAUCAAGAUGGACUACUUUUUCAUCUGCGUAAUGAAUUUGAUGCAACUGCUUUAGUUGCAGUGUUAUUCUCAGAGGUAAUCAGAAAUCCAGUGAUGAUAGUUAUGAACCUAAUUCCAAUGAAAAUGGACACAUUACGCACAUGGAUGGACUUCCAUCAACACCUUCCACCUCUAGCUGGUGGAACCUGGAAAAAAAAAAGUCACCAGGCGUAUUGUGAUAAAUUUACACUAAGACUACACAAUUUUUAAAAAACUUAGUCAAAGGUAAGGAAAUCAGAAAUUUUGACAUAGACAUUUCAGACAUUAUUUUUAUUGCUUGAUUACAUAAUCUAGAAUAUAUACUUCCUACAAUAUAACUAUAAAAAACUUGCUAGAACAUAAACUAGAAUAUGACCUUACGAGAACAUAAACUAGAAUGUGAACUUACUACAAUAUUGUCACGGUUUCUUAAGGCAGGAGGAAAGGGCAGAGUCAAAAGCAGGAGACGUAGUCCAGUAGUGUCGUAGAACGGUAUAUUUAUUGCACCGAAAAACCACUCGGCGUAACAAAAGGGCAUAGGGUGCGCCCAGAGAACACAGUAAACCCCGAGAAAACAAAAAUACGCACGGGGCGCAGCCCGGCAAAUACAACAUUCCUCUAGCAGGAAUCCGCUGGGGGAGAAUUGUGCAAAAGCACAGACCGUUCACAUACCUGCCCGCUGACGAACAAACAAUCCCGCACAGAGACGAACCCAAAGAAACAAACUAAAUACCUCCCCACUAAUGACAGACAAGAGACAGGUGCGGUCUAGAUCAGACAAAAAACAAAGAACACAGAAACAUAGAUCGGUGGCAGCUAGUAGACCGGCGACGACGACCGCCGAGCGCCGCCCGACCGAGGAGGGGCGCCAUCCUCGGUGGAUACUGUGACAAAUAUAUACUAGAAUAUUAACUUACUACAAUCUAAACUAUAAAAAACUUACUAGAACAUAAACUAGAAUAUUAACUUACUAGAACAUAAACUAGAAUAUGAUUUUACUACAAUAUAAACUAUAAAAAAAACUUACUACAACAAACUAUAAUAUGACCUUACGAGAACAUAAAAUAGAAUAUGAACUUACUACAAUCUAAACUAUAAAAAAACUUGCUAGAACAUAAACUAGAAUAUGAUCUUACUACAAUCUAAACUAUAAAAAAACUUACUAGAACAUAAACUAGAAUAUGAACUUACUACAAUCUAAACUAUAAAAAACUUACUAGAACAUAAACUAGAAUAUGAAUUUACUACAAUAUAAACUAUAAAAAAAAUUACUAGAAUAACAGCUACCGUUAUAUUGAUAUCGAAUUACAAAUAUUGGUACCCAAAAUUCAUCUUCAUUGUACCCCAUGUUGUUCCACCUCCACUUCCAGGAGGAGCCAGGUGGGGCCACAGAGCAGGCUACUCCAUCUUCUGCCGCCAACUCUGUCAGUCCACCAGACCCAACAAUGCAGUCUCCACACCACUGCAGUAACAGCCAUAUCUUCACAUCACAAAGCUUCAGUACUAUCUGAAUGUGUUGAAGUACCAUCCAGCAUCAUGUGGCAACCGCAAUGUGAAUCAAAUCAAAUAAACUAGAAUAUACAUCCGCACUGACCCGUGAAUCCGCACUGACCCAUGAUCACCACCGACCCGGGCUCUACAGAGGCAGCCUUGGAUGCCCAGGCUUUGCACACGUUCAAGGACACAAGAUUUUGAAGAAUCCCAGUGAGCAAAAUGCUACUCCAUCUUCUGCCGCCAACUCUGUCAGUCCACCAGACCCAACAAUGCAGUCUCCACACCACUGCAGUAACAGCCAUAUCUUCACAUCACAAAGCUUCAGUACUAUCUGAAUGUGUUGAAGUACCAUCCAGCAUCAUGUGGCAACCGCAAUGUGAAUCAAAUCAAAUAAACUAGAAUAUACAUCCGCACUGACCCGUGAAUCCGCACUGACCCAUGAUCACCACCGACCCGGGCUCUACAGAGGCAGCCUUGGAUGCCCAGGCUUUGCACACGUUCAAGGACACAAGAUUUUGAAGAAUCCCAGUGAGCAAAAUGCUACUCCAUCUUCUGCCGCCAACUCUGUCAGUCCACCAGACCCAACAAUGCAGUCUCCACACCACUGCAGUAACAGCCAUAUCUUCACAUCACAAAGCUUCAGUACUAUCUGAAUGUGUUGAAGUACCAUCCAGCAUCAUGUGGCAACCGCAAUGUGAAUCAAAUCAAAUAAACUAGAAUAUACAUCCGCACUGACCCGUGAAUCCGCACUGACCCAUGAUCACCACCGACCCGGGCUCUACAGAGGCAGCCUUGGAUGCCCAGGCUUUGCACACGUUCAAGGACACAAGAUUUUGAAGAAUCCCAGUGAGCAAAAUGCUACUCCAUCUUCUGCCGCCAACUCUGUCAGUCCACCAGACCCAACAAUGCAGUCUCCACACCACUGCAGUAACAGCCAUAUCUUCACAUCACAAAGCUUCAGUACUAUCUGAAUGUGUUGAAGUACCAUCCAGCAUCAUGUGGCAACCGCAAUGUGAAUCAAAUCAAAUAAACUAGAAUAUACAUCCGCACUGACCCGUGAAUCCGCACUGACCCAUGAUCACCACCGACCCGGGCUCUACAGAGGCAGCCUUGGAUGCCCAGGCUUUGCACACGUUCAAGGACACAAGAUUUUGAAGAAUCCCAGUGAGCAAAAUUAAUGGCCUCCCAAGACCACCACACAGAUGACUCUCAGCACACCAGACCGCAGGGACCGAUAAGAUGUGAUUGGAUGUUCAGCAGGAUGUGGACCUCGCCACGUCAUCUGGCCACAGAAGAUAAAGGCUAAUGGAUCUGACAGAGAUAGUGAUUUGUUUGGAUUUGAUUUGAUGUAAUAUUCUACAUUAAAAAAGAGACAAACAUA